UAACCGAGCAAAAAUACCUAAGGAGUGUCUCUACGGUAUUGAGCCUAAGUCUUUAGAUGACUUACAGGGUUGAGCGAGAAAUCAAUCAGCCUUCCACAUUUGAAAAGGUGAAGUUA
rnacentral:ncRNA from 1 species